CGAGGAAAGGCGAUCCUGCUGAGCUUGACUGCAGUUCAAAUUUUCGAGAAAAUAUGAUGGAUAAGGAAUAAGUUGAAGCUUAGAGCCACGAUGCCUAGCGUCAGUGAAAUAUCACUUCUGUCAUUAUUUCUUUACUUCAAUGAAGACGAUCCAAAAUGAUUUUUUUAUAUGAAACAUGUUGGUAUACGCAGUCAAAAGAUGCAUAUGUCAGUGUCAUAGUCAUGUCAAAUAAAUCGUGGUGCGGACCUUGGUGUCUGAGUCCUGAUCUGAUGUACGGCUUGUUCUGGAGACUAUGUUAGGCAUGGCGUAAAGUGGAAUUCAACAAGUGUUGGACUGUUCAUCCGUUCAUAAGGAACGUGAACUGGGCUUGAACAGUCAUGAGAUAGGUUAGUUUCACCCUA
rnacentral:ncRNA from 1 species